UGGGGAAUUUUGCACAAUGGGGGAAACCCUGAUGCAGCGACGCCGCGUGAUUUAGAAGGCCUUCGGGUUGUAAAAAUCUUUUCUAUGGGAAGAAAAUGACAGUACCAUAGGAAUAAGGACCGGCUAAUUACGUGCCAGCAGCCGCGGUAAUACGUAAGGUCCGAGCGUUGUCCGGACUCAUUGGGCGUAAAGGGUACGUAGGCGGGUAAGCAAGUUAGAAGUGAAAUCCUAUAGCUCAACUAUAGUAAGCGUUUAAAACUGCUCAGCUUGAGGUAUGGAAGGGAAAGUGGAGUUCCUAGUGUAGCGGUGGAGUGCGCAGAGAUUAGGAGGAGUACCGGUGGCGAAGGGGAGUUUGUGGGCAUGACCGGACGCGGAGGUACGGGAGGGUGGGUAGCGAAGAGG
rnacentral:rRNA from 1 species